rnacentral:rRNA from 1 species
GACGAACGCUGGCGGCGUGCUUAACACAUGCAAGUCGAACGAGAGGAGAAGGAAGCUUGCUUCUUUCAAAUCUAGUGGCAAACGGGUGAGUAACACGUAAACAACCUGCCUUCAGGAUGGGGACAACAGACGGAAACGACUGCUAAUACCGAAUACGUUCCUUAGGUCGCAUGACUUUAGGAAGAAAGGGUGGCCUCUACUUGUAAGCUAUCGCCUGAAGAGGGGUUUGCGUCUGAUUAGGUAGUUGGUGAGGUAACGGCCCACCAAGCCGACGAUCAGUAGCCGGUCUGAGAGGAUGAACGGCCACAUUGGGACUGAGAUACGGCCCAGACUCCUACGGGAGGCAGCAGUGGGGAAUAUUGGGCAAUGGGGGAAACCCUGACCCAGCAACGCCGCGUGAAGGAAGAAGGCCUGGUGUAACGUUCUUUACCUAGGGACGAAGGACGUGACGGUACCGU